ACACAUGCAAGUCGACGGCAGCACAGUAGAGCUUGCUCUAUGGGUGGCGAGUGGCGGACGGGUGAGUAAUGCAUCGGGACCUACCUAGACGUGGGGGAUAACGUAGGGAAACUUACGCUAAUACCGCAUACGUCCUACGGGAGAAAGCGGGGGAUCGAAAGACCUCGCGCGGUUAGACGGACCGAUGUUCGAUUAGCUAGUUGGUAGGGUAAUGGCCUACCAAGGCGACGAUCGAUAGCUGGUCUGAGAGGAUGAUCAGCCACACUGGAACUGAGACACGGUCCAGACUCCUACGGGAGGCAGCAGUGGGGAAUAUUGGACAAUGGGCGCAAGCCUGAUCCAGCAAUGCCGCGUGUGUGAAGAAGGCCUUCGGGUUGUAAAGCACUUUUAUCAGGAGCGAAAUGCCAUGGGUUAAUACCUCGUGGAGCUGACGGUACCUGAGGAAUAAGC
rnacentral:rRNA from 2 species